rnacentral:rRNA from 1 species
UAUCUCUGUAGAGUCUGCAUAUCAAUAAGCGGAGGAAAAGAAACUAACAAGGAUUCCCCUAGUAACGGCGAGUGAAGCGGGAAGAGCUCAAAUUUGAAAUCUUCAAGGUUUGACCUUGACGAAUUGUAGUUUAAAGAAGUGUUUUCGGUUAGAGGAGUAGUAAAAGUUCUUUGGAAUAGGACAUCAUAGAGGGUGAGAAUCCCGUAUUUGACUAUUCUUUCUAGCUUUGUGAUACACUUUCAAAGAGUCGGAUUGUUUGGGAAUGCAGUCCAAAAUGGGUGGUAAAUUUCAUCUAGAGCUAAAUAUUGGCGAGAGACCGAUAGCGAACAAGUACCGUGAGGGAAAGAUGAAAAGAACUUUGAAAAGAGAGUUAAACAGUACGUGAAAUUGUCAAAAGGGAAGCGUUUGACACCAGUGUUGUUUUUCCGAAAAUCAAUUAAAAAUUGAUUCAUGCCAGGUUGUAUUGACCUUAUCAGCUUGCAAUUUGGUUUUGGGUCUCUUUUUGAUGCACUUUUCGGUUAACAAGUCAACAUCAAUUUCCUUUGCUGUAAAAAGGUAAGAGGAAGGUGGCUUCAAUUUCGGUUGAAGUGUUUAUAGCCUUUUAUCUCUGCAGUCGGGGAGAUUGAGGUCUGCAGCGUAGAUCCUUCGGGGCUAGAUACAUUUAUGCUAAGUUAUAGCUUUUCAUAGACAACUUGUUGACUAUGUUUAGUCAUGUAGCUUACUCGUAAGUGCUAUUUUACCUACGCUUAGGAUGUUGAAGACUCUACAGAGAU